rnacentral:rRNA from 1 species
ACGUUAGCGGCGGACGGGUGAGUAACACGUGGGUAACCUACCUAUAAGACUGGGAUAACUUCGGGAACCCGGAGCUAAUACCGGAUAAUAUUUCGAACCGCAUGGUUCGAUAGUGAAAGAUGGUUUUGCUAUCACUUAUAGAUGGACCCGCGCCGUAUUAGCUAGUUGGUAAGGUAACGGCUUACCAAGGCGACGAUACGUAGCCGACCUGAGAGGGUGAUCGGCCACACUGGAACUGAGACACGGUCCAGACUCCUACGGGAGGCAGCAGCC